UACGGGGGGGGCAAGCGUUGUUCGGAAUUACUGGGCGUAAAGGGCGCGUAGGCGGCCUGCUAAGUCGAACGUGAAAUCCCUGGGCUCAACCCAGGAACUGCGUCCGAUACUGGUUGGCUUGAAUCCGGGAGAGGGAUGUGGAAUUCCAGGUGUAGCGGUGAAAUGCGUAGAUAUCUGGAGGAACACCGGUGGCGAAGGCGACAUCCUGGACCGGUAUUGACGCUGAGGCGCGAAAGCUAGGGGAGCGAACGGG
rnacentral:rRNA from 1 species